rnacentral:piRNA from 1 species
UCUAAGGCUGUCACCUGUGCAUCUGA